GAUGAACGCUAGCGGCAGGCUUAAUACAUGCAAGUCGAACGGGAUUGAGAAGCUUGCUUUUCAUGAGAGUGGCGCACGGGUGCGUAACACGUAUGCAACCUGCCUUGUCCAGGGGGAUAGCCCGUUGAAAGACGGAUUAAGACCGCAUAACAUCAUUGAAUGGCAUCGUUUAAUGAUCAAAUAUUUAUAGGGACAAGAUGGGCAUGCGUCGGAUUAGCUAGUUGGCGGGGUAAUGGCCCACCAAGGCGACGAUCAGUAGGGGGUCUGAGAGGAUGACCCCCCACACUGGUACUGAGACACGGACCAGACUCCUACGGGAGGCAGCAGUAAGGAAUAUUGGUCAAUGGGCGCAAGCCUGAACCAGCCAUGCCGCGUGCAGGAAGACGGCCCUACGGGUUGUAAACUGCUUUUAUACGGGAAUAACCCCGGUUUCGUGAAACCGGCUGAAUGUACCGUAAGAAUAAGGAUCGGCUAACUCCGUGCCAGCAGCCGCGGUAA
rnacentral:rRNA from 1 species